UCUUAUAACAUAGCAUUUUAAUGCACUGGAUCCCAUUAUAAAUUUAUAGUUAAACACACUCGAGAUAGAGUAGUACUAGGAUGGGUGGAUGACCUCUCGUGAAGUUCUAGUAUUUUGCAUGAC
rnacentral:rRNA from 1 species